CCUACGGGAGGCAGCAGUGGGGAAUAUUGGACAAUGGGGGCAACCCUGAUCCAGCCAUGCCGCGUGUGUGAAGAAGGCCUUCGGGUUGUAAAGCACUUUCAGUGGUGAGGAAGGGUGUUGUGUUAAUAGCGCAGCACAUUGACGUUAGCCACAGAAGAAGCACCGGCUAACUCCGUGCCAGCAGCCGCGGUAAUACGGAGGGUGCGAGCGUUAAUCGGAAUUACUGGGCGUAAAGCGCACGUAGGCGGUUUGUUAAGCUAGAUGUGAAAGCCCCGGGCUUAACCUGGGAAUAGCAUUUAGAACUGGCAGGCUAGAGUUUUGAAGAGGGUGGUAGAAUUUCCUGUGUAGCGGUGAAAUGCGUAGAUAUAGGAAGGAAUACCAGUGGCGAAGGCGGCCACCUGGUCAAAAACUGACGCUGAGGAGCGAAAGCGUGGGGAGCA
rnacentral:rRNA from 1 species